rnacentral:tRNA from 1 species
GGGGAUAUAGCUCAGUUGGUAGAAUGCUUGCCUUGCAUGCACAAAGUCCUGGGUUCAAUCCCCAGCACCACCA